GUACACAGUGAUAGCAAUUAUUUAUAUGAUUGAUAGGAAUCAUGUCUUGAAACAUGAAAGGUUUUUUAUUUUUUAAUCUUUAGUUUUGCUCUUGAUAUGUAGUUUCCUUUUACCUUUGGUUUCCUAAGCGCACACACACCAAAGCAUUCAUCUUUGCUCCACCCAUUGGGUACAUUUUUCUUGGUGGGCGUUCUGGUUUGCUGUUUGCAAGCAUUGGUUUCUGCAUUUCCUUUUCUCCAGAUAGCAUAAAUUAUGAGUUUGGCAAACUACUAAAGAAAUAGGAGCAGAAGAUUUGGG
rnacentral:lncRNA from 1 species